rnacentral:rRNA from 1 species
AGAGUUUGAUCCUGGCUCAGGACGAACGCUGGCGGCGUGCUUAACACAUGCAAGUCGUGGGCACCAGCAAUGGUGACCGGCGAACGGGUGCGUAACACGUAAGCGACCUACCGAUCCGCGGGGGAUAGCCGGCCCAACGGCCGGGUAAUACCGCAUACGCUCACAUGGCUGCAUGGCCGAGUGAGGAAACCUCCGGGGCGGAUUGAGGGGCUUGCGGCCUAUCAGCUAGUUGGCGGGGUAAUGGCCCACCAAGGCAUUGACGGGUAGCUGGUCUGAGAGGAUGGCCAGCCACAUUGGGACUGAGAGACGGCCCAGACUCCUACGGGAGGCAGCAGUGGGGAAUCUUGCGCAAUGGCCGAAAGGCUGACGCAGCGACGCCGCGUGUGGGAUGAAGCCCUUCGGGGUGUAAACCACUGUUGCCCGGGACGAACGGCGGGAUUUAUCUCGCGUGACGGUACCGGGUGAGGAAGCACCGGCUAACUCCGUGCCAGCAGCCGCGGUAAUACGGAGGGUGCGAGCGUUGUCCGGAAUCACUGGGCGUAAAGGGCGCGUAGGUGGCUCAAGCAAGGGGGCGGUGAAAGCCCGGGGCUCAACCCCGGGUCUGCCGGACCGACUGCGGAGCUAGAGCAUACUAGGGGCGAGUGGAAUUCCGGGUGUAGCGGUGGAAUGCGUAGAGAUCCGGAAGAACACCGGUGGCGAAGGCGGCUCGCUGGGGUAUGACUGACACUGAUGCGCGACAGCGUGGGGAGCAAACAGGAUUAGAUACCCUCGUAGUCC